AAAUUGAAGAGUUUGAUCAUGGCUCAGAUUGAACGCUGGCGGCAGGCCUAACACAUGCAAGUCGAACGGUAACAGGAAGCAGCUUGCUGUUUCGCUGACGAGUGGCGGACGGGUGAGUAAUGUCUGGGAAACUGCCUGAUGGAGGGGGAUAACUACUGGAAACGGUAGCUAAUACCGCAUAACGUCGCAAGACCAAAGAGGGGGACCUUCGGGCCUCUUGCCAUCGGAUGUGCCCAGAUGGGAUUAGCUAGUAGGUGGGGUAACGGCUCACCUAGGCGACGAUCCCUAGCUGGUCUGAGAGGAUGACCAGCCACACUGGAACUGAGACACGGUCCAGACUCCUACGGGAGGCAGCAGUGGGGAAUAUUGCACAAUGGGCGCAAGCCUGAUGCAGCCAUGCCGCGUGUAUGAAGAAGGCCUUCGGGUUGUAAAGUACUUUCAGCGGGGAGGAAGGGAGUAAAGUUAAUACCUUUGCUCAUUGACGUUACCCGCAGAAGAAGCACCGGCUAACUCCGUGCCAGCAGCCGCGGUAAUACGGAGGGUGCAAGCGUUAAUCGGAAUUACUGGGCGUAAAGCGCACGCAGGCGGUUUGUUAAGUCAGAUGUGAAAUCCCCGGG
rnacentral:rRNA from 1 species